CAGGACGAACGGCUGGCGGCGUGCUUAACACAUGCAAGUCGAACGAUGAAGCCGGAGCUUGCUCUGGUGAAUUAGUGGCGAACGGGUGAGUAACACGUGAGUAACCUGCCCUUGACUCUGGGAUAACUGCUAGAAAUGGUAGCUAAUACCGGAUACGACACCUUGGGGCAUCCCAGGGUGUGGAAAGAAUUUCGGUCAAGGAUGAGCUCGCGGCCUAUCAGCUAGUUGGUGAGGUAAUGGCUCACCAAGGCGACGACGGGUAGCCGGCCUGAGAGGGUGACCGGCCACACUGGAACUGAGACACGGUCCAGACUCCUACGGGAGGCAGCAGUGGGGAAUAUUGCACAAUGGGCGAAAGCCUGAUGCAGCAACGCCGCGUGAGGGAUGAAGGCCUUCGGGUUGUAAACCUCUUUUAGCAGGGAAGAAGCGAAAGUGACGGUACCUGCAGAAAAAGCACCGGCUAACUACGUG
rnacentral:rRNA from 1 species